GAAGGCAACGGGGGAGGGGAAGCGGGGAAGGAGGAGAGAGCGCUGGAGGCGAGCGCCAUCUUACGACGCUGUGUCCAACUCUUCAUGGCCCCAUGAACCAUAGCAAGCCAAUACUGUCCAUAGAGACAAAGAUACUGGAUACUUGGUAAAGAAGAUGCUGGAAUGGUUUGUCACUUCCUUUUCCAGUAGAUUAAGGAGCCAGGGAGUCUGCUACUCUUGGUCUACUGUCAAAGGCCUCAGGAUACAGAUGGGUCCUAUAAAUCAAUCAAGCAUUCCUCUAAGACAGAGAGUGAUAAUUGUUGGCCCCAGCUGUAUGACUAUGAAGAUAUGGUUUGCUAUAGAAAAACUGGCCACAAGAGUCUAUCUGUUCCCCUCCUAAAGCUGUCAUUAGGGAUUCACUGGAUGUGUGUACAUCAUUUUCAAUCAUCUUAUAGAGGUUUCACAGUAAGCUCGGAUCUGUUCCAAAAGAUGAAGGACGCGGAUUUCACGCCUGCCUCGCUUGUCAUCAGGUUGUGAAUG